UACGAAGGGGGCUAGCGUUGUUCGGAAUUACUGGGCGUAAAGCGCACGUAGGCGGAUAUUUAAGUCAGGGGUGAAAUCCCAGAGCUCAACUCUGGAACUGCCUUUGAUACUGGGGUAUCUUGAGUAUGGAAGAGGUAAGUGGAAUUGCGAGUGUAGAGGUGAAAUUCGUAGAUAUUCGCAGGAACACCAGUGGCGAAGGCGGCUCACUGGUCCGAUACUGACGCUGAGGUGCGAAAGCGUGGGGAGCAAACAGG
rnacentral:rRNA from 1 species